CAGGUGAGGCAUCCUCCAGCGCAGGAAGACUUCCGGGUCGCGAUUCCUCAGGUGACCCAAAACACCUGGGAGCACACACUGAGAGACGGGAGCAAAAAAAGAGAGAAAACAACAAAACACUACACACAGAAAGAAAAUAAACAGGGCUCGGCAGGGAGUGAGAGUCACAGGUGUCGAGCCUACUGCAACAGAAGGAGAGCCGGAUUAUUGUCAGGUAGAGAAUACCGGAAGCAAGAUGAGUCUUUACUAGAGAUCAUGCUUACUUGGAAAGUGAAGAGUAAUGUGCUCCAAGGGAGAUGCAACCAGUGAUCUGGCUGAGCAGAAGAGCAGCCAGGUAAGAUGUCUGAGCAUUGUGUUCUUCCAGACCACUGAGGAAAAGCAUCCCACAGAGAAAUUAAAGAGGAAAAAGAGCAGAUAUGAGAUCGGACGUGAACGGAGAGAAGACUCGAAGGGAGACAGCAGGACAGCCACAUUGCUUCCAGAAGAAGAUAGUAAUAAUAAAAUGCGUUAUUGUUGGGGUAUAAAACUGUAUGGCCUGAUCCAGGGUCAUCCUCUUUGUGAAGACAUCUGUUUUCACAUAGAGGUCCAGCAACUUGUCAUUUCAACAGCUGAAGCAAAUUAAAUCUUUUUAAAAGACAGAUAUUUCAGAUAAAAAAAGUUGACUUGACUUUUGGAAAAACCGGACAGGACAUUUCAAAGCCCACAGUUACUCCCUUUCAUUGUUGUCCUUUUGCAGAUGUUCUAAAAUAUUAGAGAGGAAACAGGUGUUUUAAAAUUAUAAUCUAAAAUUAAAAUGUCUAGCAAAAACAGCUGCAAGAAACAAAAAAUGGACUUCAUGUAGAAAAACUUUUUUUUUGUAUGUAGGUCAGUUUUCGUUUCAAAUCAGACAUGACACAUUAGAAGUCAUAAUACACAAAGGUAAGGGAGGAGUUGCAAAGAAAAAUAGAUAAGGUGUGUCAACUGCUGAUAUUUGUUUUUACAAACAGCUAGCUCUUCAUGAGAAGUCUCUCAGUUUACCUUGUUCCAAAUGCCGAAAAUACCUGUUGCUUUGGGUUCCAACCACAAAUCCCACACCCAAAAGAAAUGGCAGGUGUCUUAGAAACAGUAUCUUUGGAAGUUGUUUGUUCUGGCACUUUAUCAGUUUUUGUUCAAAGCUGAAUAAACAACUUAGAUACAUAAGUGAAGGUACAGCCAACCUCCUGCUGUGAUGUAAAUGGAUGGCAUUUGGGGACUGUUUGACUUCACGAUUGCUGCUUUGCCAUUCUGUAAAGCAAGGGUGUCAAACUCCAGGCCUCGAGGGCCGGUGUCCUGUAGG